UCUCAUCUCUCUCACAACUCACAUCUCACCAGUCUAUCUCUCUCUCUGGCGAUUCCAGAUCCAGAUUUGGAUCUAGGGUUUCUCUGCUAUCUCUCUCGCGAUCCAAGCUAUUCAGAUCCGCCUUUCCAUCGAGAUUGAAGCGGUGGACAAAGAUUGAAGAGGCGCGAGCUAGGGUUGUUACGAGACUCAGGUUAACUCCAGCAAGAAUUCCGAAGUCUGGUGAGGCUCCGGCGAGUUCUCCGGUGACUGAUGAAACUUGGUCUAUAUCUAAAGCGGCCUUUGGCUUGCUGGUUAGUGGCCCUUCAGGGCAAAUGACUUGGAUUCGAGACGGCCCAACAAGUUUGGAUAUCAGGAAUAUAAAAAGGCUAUUGACAAUAGGUUUGGAGGCUCAGGAGUUCAUGAUUGCUGGUAGAUGGUUGGAUUUGGCUUCGUUGAUGAUUACUUCUGCUGAUUUGGUGUUUUCUAAAGCGUCAGAUAAAGGUUAAAUCGUUAAACUCAAUCUGGUGAUUCAGUUUUCAGCUUUUUAUUUGUUGUGUUUCUAUGUGGUUGUUAAUAUACUUGUGUUUGUUGGUGCAACUGCUGUCGAGGAUAAGCUGCAACAAGGGGUUUGGUUUCAAUGACACCGACGACAGUGGUGACUUGCGGUGGUGGAUAGUUUCGAACAGGGAAUCCGCUAGGCGGUCAAGAAAAAGAAAACAAGCACAUUUAACCGAUCUUGAGCAACAAGUGGAACUACUGCGAGGAGAGUACUCAGAUUUGUUCAAGCAACUCACACGUGCGAGUCUUCAGUUCAAAGAUGCCUCAACGAACAACCAAGUGCUCAAGUCAGAUGUGGAAGCUUUGAGAGCUAAGAUCAAAGACUUGAAGAAUAGAAGCAGAAGAAAAUGGAGAAAAAGCACAAGGUUCUAACCGUUGCACCGUUUGAAUGUGCGUGGCGUGAUGAUCUAUGAUUCAAGGAAGCAGGACGAGGUUGCGUUGCAUUUGAAGCGUUUGCACACAGCAGAGUUGGUAACAAAUUAAACCAGUUUGGGUCGUCGCGAACACUUUUACAUAGACCUACUAAGGGAGACAUACGAACUCGAACAUGUAUAAACCAUCUAAUGAUGGUUAAAGUUGCCCAAGGUGCAGGAUUGUUGCAGGAUUCUAUCAUGAAAAUGCAAAGAGGAGCUGUUAAACCAAUAGCUGUGUUAGCACGACACCCAAACAGACCAACUUUUCUUGAUCAUGCAGUCAACAUUACUUAUA